rnacentral:rRNA from 1 species
GAAGACGAUCAGAUACCGUCGUAGUCUUAACUAUAAAUGCUACAAACCAGGGAUAGGACACUGUCCAUCUCGACUCCUCCCAGACCUUGGAGAAAUCAGAGUCUUUGGGUUCUGGGGGGAGUAUGGUCGCAAGGCUGAAACUUAAAGGAAUUGACGGAAGGGCACACAAAGAGUGGAACCUGCGGCUUAAUUUGACUCAACACGGGAAAACUCACCAGGUCCGGAUACACGUAUGAAAGUCAAGCUGAAAGACUUUACUCAAUGAUGUAAGUGGUGGUGCAUGGCCGUUCGUAGUUCGUGGAUUGAUUUGUCUGGUCUAUUCCGAUAACGAGCGAGACCCUGACGUUCCUAAUAGGGGUGGCAGCCCAGCUGGCCGCAAGGCCAGUGAGCUACCACCUAAGAUUGGCCUUCUUAGAGUAUCAGAGCCGAUAAGGUUCUUGAAAUGGGUUAAUAACAGGUCAGUCAUGCCCUUAGAUGUUCUGGGCCGCACGCGCGUUACAAUGGCAUGUAAAGCGCGUGCUGCUAUCAGUGUUACCGGGGUUUCUUAAACGAGGAAUUUUUAGUAAUCACAGGUCAUUAACCUGUGUUGAAUACGUCCCUGCCCUUUGUACACACCGCCCGUCGCUGCUACCGAUUGGGUUUUACAGUUACGUGUUCGGAGGCUGCGGUUCCCUGUUUGCCCUCACGGGUAGGCAGAAGCUGCGGCCAAAGUCCCAAUUACUGUACGGCCUAGAGGAAGCAGAAGUGGUAACAAGGUGGCGUA